GACGAACGCUGGCGGCGUGCUUAACACAUGCAAGUCGAACGGAAAGGCCCUGCUUUUGUGGGGUGCUCGAGUGGCGAACGGGUGAGUAACACGUGAGUAACCUGCCCUUGACUUUGGGAUAACUUCAGGAAACUGGGGCUAAUACCGGAUAGGAGCUCCUGCUGCAUGGUGGGGGUUGGAAAGUUUCGGCGGUUGGGGAUGGACUCGCGGCUUAUCAGCUUGUUGGUGGGGUAGUGGCUUACCAAGGGUUUGACGGGUAGCCGGCCUGGGAGGGUGACCGGAAAAGUGGGGAGGGGAAGGAGGCAAGGAGUACAAGGGGAGGAAGGGGGGGGGAGGGGGGAACAGGGGGAGGAGGGAGAGGGCGGAAAAGCGGCGGGGGGGGGGGGGGCCUGGGGGUAGGAAAGGGAUGUCGCGUGAGAAGAAGGGUGAGGGACGGUAAGGGGAAAAGAAGAACAGGAAAACUAGGUG
rnacentral:rRNA from 1 species